AGAGUUUGAUCCUGGCUCAGAACGAACGCUGGCGGCGCGUUUUAAGCAUGCAAGUCGAACGGCAAGGUAAGAGCUUGCUCUUACCCUAGAGUGGCGGACUGGUGAGUAACGCGUGGGUAAUCUACCUAUAGGAUGGGGAUAGCUACUAGAAAUAGUAGAUAAUACCGAAUGUGCUUAUAUGUUAAAUCAUGUAAGGAAAGGGAGCUAAGGCUUUGCCUAAAGAAGAGCCUGCGUCCCAUUAGCUAGUUGGUACGGUAACGGCGUACCAAGGCGACGAUGGGUAUCCGACCUGAGAGGGUGACCGGACACAUUGGGACUGAGACACAGCCCAGACUCCUACGGGAGGCAGCAGCUAAGAAUCUUCCGCAAUGGGCGCAAGCCUGACGGAGCGACGCCGCGUGAAUGAAGAAGGCCGAAAGGUUGUAAAAUUCUUUUAAGUUUGAAGAAUAACCAGUAUAGGGAAUGAUACUGAGAUGACGGUAAAACUUGAAUAAGCCCCGGCUAAUUACGUGCCAGCAGCCGCGGUAACACGUAAGGGGCGAGCGUUGUUCGGAAUUAUUGGGCGUAAAGGGUAUGCAGGCGGUUAGAUAAGCCCGGUGUGAAAUGCUCAAGCUUAACUUGAGAACUGCACUAGGUACUGUCUAACUUGAAUCACGAAGGGGAAACUGGAAUUCCAGGUGUAGGGGUGGAAUCUGUAGAUAUCUGGAAGAAUACCGGUGGCGAAGGCGGGUUUCUGGUCGAUGAUUGACGCUGAGAUACGAAAGUGUGGGGAGCAAACAGGAUUAGAUGCCCUGGUAGUCCACACCAUAAACGAUGUACACUAGGUGUUGGGGCAAGAGCCUCAGUGCCGAAGCAAACGUGAUAAGUGUACCGCCUGGGGAGUAUGCCGGCAACGGUGAAACUCAAAGGAAUUGACGGGGGCCCACACAAGCGGUGGAGCAUGUGGUUUAAUUCGAGGGUACGCGAGGAACCUUACCUGGGUUUGACAUCAAGAGCAAUACUGUAGAGAUAUGGUAGCGUAGCAAUACGGCUUUUGACAGGUGCUGCAUGGCUGUCGUCAGCUCGUGCCGUGAGGUGUUGGGUUAAGUCCCGCAACGAGCGCAACCCCUACUGUCAGUUACUAACAGGUAAAGCUGAGGACUCUGGCGGAACUGCCGAUGACAAAUCGGAGGAAGGGGGGGAUGACGUCAAGUCAUCAUGGCCCUUAUGCCCAGGGCUACACACGUGCUACAAUGGUUGCUACAGAAUGAUGCGAAGCUGCGAAGCGGAGCGAAACGUAAAAAAGCAAUCGUAGUCCGGAUUGAAGUCUGAAACCCGACUUCAUGAAGUUGGAAUCGCUAGUAAUCGCAUAUCAGCACGAUGCGGUGAAUACGUUCCUGGGCCUUGUACACACCGCCCGUCACACCAUCCGAGUCGAGGAUACCCGAAGUCGCUAGUUUAACCCGCAAGGGAGAACGGUGCCGAAGGUAUGUUUGGUAAGGAGGGUGAAGUCGUAACAAGGUAGCCGUACCGGAAGGUGCGGCUG
rnacentral:rRNA from 1 species